GACGAACGCUGGCGGCGCGCCUAACACAUGCAAGUCGAACGGAGCUGAGAGAAGCUUGCUUUUCUUAGCUUAGUGGCGAACGGGUGAGUAACGCGUGAGUAACCUGCCCUGGAGUGGGGGACAACAGUUGGAAACGACUGCUAAUACCGCAUAAGCCCACGAUCCGGCAUCGGAUUGAGGGAAAAGGAUUUAUUCGCUUCAGGAUGGACUCGCGUCCAAUUAGCUAGUUGGUGAGGUAACGGCCCACCAAGGCGACGAUUGGUAGCCGGACUGAGAGGUUGAACCGCCACAUUGGGACUGGGACACGGCCCAGAAUCCUACGGGAGGGAGCAGUGGGGGAUAUUGCACAAUGGGGGAAACCCUGAUGCAGCGACGCCGCGUGGAGGAAGAAGGUUUUCGGAUUGUAAACUCCUGUCGUUAGGGACGAUAAUGACGGUACCUAACAAGAAAGCACCGGCUAACUACGUG
rnacentral:rRNA from 1 species